UCCUGGGAACAGAAUCGGCAUCCCUGAAUUCCUCUCAUCACUUGGGGCUGACGCAGGCAGCGAUGCACGCCCCACCGCUGGAUCAUCACCCCGGUUAUCAACCCCCACUAGAAUAUAAGCUCCAUGAAGACACACGGAAUCGUCAGUGCCUAACGCUCAGCCUCCACAGAGAGGAGCCGUAGUGAAGC